UGGUAUCUUCAAAAAUGUCGAAUGAAUCUUGGUCUAAAGUACUAAGCAUUGGCUCUAGAAAAGAAUUAUUGCUCGAGUUUUAAAAAGUUACUUCAAGCCUUCAAGUGAAACAUUUUUUUGAAAUAAUUCAGUUGAAAUAGUAAUUGCAGUUUACAGGUAGAGAACACCAGAAUUCCCCGGACCAAGAAGAUGACACCGUGCUUAAGGUCGAGGAAUACCUAGCAGUAGUGCAGUACGCAGGUUGCUAUUCUGUUUAAGAACACCAUCAUUCAUCCAAGCCAGAUGUAGUGAGCAAUAUAGCACUUUAAAACGCAUGGUAUGAAUUUUGGGACGCCUUGAGACCCUGCAAGAAGGCUUACAUCGCCUCCGGCUGGUUGAUGGAAGUAUUCAUUAUAGCAGAUUCUCUGUACUUAUAUUGCCGGUGCACGGUGAAAGAUCACAUUGAUUAACUCUGCUUAAAUCCAUGGUGGAAAUAAUAAUUGAAUUGAGAAUGAAUGAACUAUUAGUUGAAUUCUGUCGAAUUUCUAUGAGAGACCUGCAAAGCAGAGCAAAACAUUUCAUACAUCUCCAAAAAAGUCCUAUUCACUUGUGAUCUUGUGAGUUGCGGUUAGCAUGCUAGUUUUGCACUUGAAUUGACCUUUUGUGCCUGAAUCUCAUGAAACUAGUUUCAGAAGAACUUUAAAUCAUACAUGCAGCAAACGAAUAUGCCCAUAAGCUUUUGAGCUUGUUCAUUUAGCUCCUUGAAUCAGCUCAUCAGCUUUGUGAUAA
rnacentral:lncRNA from 1 species